AGCAGCAUGGCUUAAUGGAAAGAGCACGAACUUGAGAGUCAGAGGUCGUGGGUUCUAAUCCCAUUUCUGCCA
rnacentral:tRNA from 1 species